GGCCCCAUGCUGUGCAGAGAGAAAACCUGCUCAGCCCUUCCCUGCCUCUCCCACCUGAUGAUGCAUUUGCACUUACCCUUCUGAAAAAUCUCAUCUUCCUGAGGCACUUUGAUUGCUCUAGGUAGACGCUGCCCUUUGUUGCCUGCAGCAUUAUCCCUUCCCUGUCCCUGCCUGCUGGAGCUGCUUCUUGCAUGCUCCACAAAGCAGCCAGGCACUGUCCUCUGUUUUAAUUGCUUUUGCCCACCUCCUGUCUUGGCCUCACAUUAGCUUUAGGGGAUGUGGGGCAGGGGAAGGGCUUGGAAAUAGGAAACAUUUGGGUGCUAAGAGGCAGGGGAAGGAGGGUAAGCAGGUACCCGCUGGCUUGGUGGGAGCAGAUGUGUCAGUGCAGGCACCUGCAUGGAUAUGGACAAUAAUUUCUCUGUCUUUGCAGAGAUACAGCCUUGAAGUUUGCCUCUUUUAUUCUGUAGGGACCACUGACUGCAGAAAACAGAUGCCAUCUGUCCACCGUGCCUUGUAAAUCAGAUUUUAAUCAUCUCAGGGAGAGCUCUGUCUCCAGCUGAGUGCUGCAAACCAGAUUUCCUGGCUGAUGGUGGAAAAUAUCUUAGGCCAUGCCUGAAUUUGUCAGGAGAUUUGCCAGAAAGGAUGGCUCCUCACAGAAGUCCCAAGUCACUCACCUCUACCAUUUUACACAAAAGAAGAGCAUCCUCCCAGGUUGUGUAUCAUCACAUCACAAGAGAGUGGUUACAGCAGUCGUAUCCUGGGACGAAUCAAGUCAGCUCAUCAAAACCCAAAUCUAAUGGUAGUGCUUGGGGAGUAGGCUGGAAUGGGAAGAGCGUAGAACACCCCCUUUCCAGAAGAGCAAAGGAGACUGAAGAUUAAAGCAAUUCUUGAGCUGGUUUCUAAUGAGCCUGCUGCAGCUUUUCCAGGUGAAUCAAAGAAAUUAAAAUCCUUGGGCAAAACAAAUAUUUCCAUUCAAGUCCUGUUGUCUUCCUAUUCCCUAAUAUUUCCCCAAAAUCCUUAUUCCUGACCCAGAUGCUCAGCCCAGUUUCAGUUAUGAGGAUGCUGGGACUGGGGGUCACACUCACACCUAUUUCCAGGUGAGACUGUGUUGUCUGGAGGAUGUUGGAAUCAUCACUUUAGUGGAGCCCAGUGAACCCUCAUCAAGGCUGGCUUUGUCCUACAUCCCUCCAAGGGAUCCUUCACUUGUGGUACUUCUCACAAGCACCAUGAUUUUUCCUUUCUUUCUUCCUCUGCAAAGGAAGAGAAUUUAAAGAUUAAAUCCCACUGAGAAAUUUAAAAAAUCAUAGGUCCCUUGAGACAAAAGGUACAGCAAAACUAAACUGCAUGAGCAGGGAGACAGCUUUUCUACAUGUUGGGGGAAGUUUGGUAGGAAAGUAUUUCUCAGCUAAACACUCUCCCUCUGGUUUGGAUUAAUAGCUUGGAUCCAACUUCACUAUUCCCAUAACAAAUAAAUCUUAAACCAUAACUAGCCCAAGAGAAGAAGUAUCUGCUGGAUGUCUUUUCAAUGCCAUAUUUUUUUCCUCUGUAAAGCACUCCUCUUUUAAAAGCUCCCUGGCUCUUCACAGCUUAUUUUCCAUUGAUUUUAUAGAGAUGUCGGUACCAAACACAUGCAGAUAACUAAGAUUCCAGGUGGGAACAUACACAAGAUACAUGUGACAAAAAGCAUGAGGCAAGAUGUUCCCAGAAAAACAAUGUUUAAUUUACUGCUUUUCAAUUAUCCAUGAGGAGACCCAGACAUAUUUUUUUUUUUACAUAUUCAGCUAUUAGUCAAAAUUAUUUGACUCUACAAGACCCCAC